UUUUGCUUUGUGCUACAGUACUGUGUAAAAGUCCUAGGCCAGCAAUAAGUUGGUCGGUUUAGUAAAGUUAUAAUGACCACACAUUUGCAUUCCUCAGUCUCUGCAUUAAGAUACAAUGUGGAUAUGUGUGAAGUAUGUACAGCAA